GGGGAAUCUUAGACAAUGGGGGAAACCCUGAUCUAGCCAUGCCGCGUGAGCGAUGAAGGCCUUAGGGUUGUAAAGCUCUUUCAGUGGGGAAGAUAAUGACGGUACCCACAGAAGAAGCCCCGGCUAACUCCGUGCCAGCAGCCGCGGUAAUACGGAGGGGGCUAGCGUUGUUCGGAAUUACUGGGCGUAAAGCGCACGUAGGCGGACUGGAAAGUCAGAGGUGAAAUCCCAGGGCUCAACCUUGGAACUGCCUUUGAAACUCCUGGUCUUGAGGUCGAGAGAGGUGAGUGGAAUUCCGAGUGUAGAGGUGAAAUUCGUAGAUAUUCGGAGGAACACCAGUGGCGAAGGCGGCUCACUGGCUCGAUACUGACGCUGAGGUGCGAAAGCGUGGGGAGCAAAC
rnacentral:rRNA from 1 species